rnacentral:rRNA from 1 species
UAGGGAAUCUUGCGCAAUGGGCGAAAGCCUGACGCAGCGACGCCGCGUGCGGGAAGAAGGCCUUCGGGUUGUAAACCGCUUUCAGGAGGGACGAAGCCACUCGGGUUAAUAGCCCAGAGGGUGACGGUACCUCCAGAAGAAGCCCCGGCUAACUACGUGCCAGCAGCCGCGGUAAUACGUAGGGGGCAAGCGUUGUCCGGAUUCAUUGGGCGUAAAGAGCGUGUAGGCGGUCAGGUAGGUCGGUUGUGAAAACUGGAGGCUCAACCUUCAGAGGUCGACCGAAACCCCCUGGCUAGAGUCCGGGAGAGGAGAGUGGAAUUCCUGGUGUAGCGGUGAAAUGCGCAGAUAUCAGGAAGAACACCCGUGGCGAAAGCGGCUCUCUGGAACGGUACUGACGCUGAGACGCGAAAGCGUGGGGAGCGAACAGG